AUGACAAAUAGGAACCGUGCACCGUUCCUUCCGUCCCUCCUCCUCCUCCUCUUAUUUGGUCUCACCGUCGCAGCCUUUGCCGCGGGCGAUGACCAAUUCAUCUUCUCCGGCUUCACACAAUCCAGCCUAGCCCUCGACGGCGGCGCCGUGGUCACACAAGGCGGCCUCCUCGACAUGUCCAACGGCACAAACAAUGUCAAGAGCCAUGCUCUUUACCCCACUCCAUUGCGCUUCCGCAAUUCAUCCACUGGUGGUAAAGUGCAAUCAUUCUCGUCCGCCAUCGUUUUCUGCAUCAUCGGCGCAUUCCCUGGCGUGAGUGCCAAUGGCUUGGCCUUCUUCAUCGCCCCAAGCAGGAAUCUCUCGGACGCGUUGCCGACGCAGUACUUUGGUAUCCUGAAGCAGCAAAACAAUGCCAACCUCUUUGUUAUCGAGGUUGACACCUUCCAGAACCCUGACAUGCAAGACAUCAACGACAACCACAUCGGCAUCGACAUCAACAGUGUUUUCUCCUUGCCAUCUCACGCGGCUGGCUUCUAUGAUGACUCUAGUGGCGCCUUCAAGAACUUGACGCUCAACACCCAGAUAGAACUGCAGUUGUGGGUGGACUACGAGGAGGAGGAAACAAGGAUCAAUGUGACCUUGGCUCCACUUCAUGUGGGAAAACCCUCCAAGCCACUGUUGUCCGCAACCUAUGACCUCUCAACCGUGCUCACGGAGACGGCAUACAUAGGUUUCUCAUCCACGGCUGAAAUUAUGAACACCCGUCAUUAUGUUCUUGGAUGGAGCUUUGGCAUGAACGGGCAAGCAGCCCCGUCCAUUGACAUCUCCAAGCUUCCAAAGGUUCCUCGUCUACGACAAAAGGCCCAGUCCAUGCUCUUGGCGAUCAUCCUCCCAAUAGCCACUGCGGCACUGAUAAUCUCUAUCGGCACCAUUGUCACUCUGAUGGUGCGAAGAAAGAGGAGGUACACGGAGGUGCGUGAGGAUUGGGAGAGCGAGUUCGGUCCACACCGGUUCUCGUACAAGGAUUUGUUCAAGGCUACUCAGGGAUUUAAGAGCAAGAACCUAGUUGGAGCAGGAGGGUUUGGGGAGGUAUACAGAGGGGUGCUUAAACUGUCCAAGAAGGAGAUUGCCGUGAAGAGGAUGUCCCAUGAGUCGAGACAAGGGAUGAAGGAGUUCAUCACCGAGGUUGUUAGCAUUGGCCGGUUGCGACAUCGCAACCUAGUGCAGCUACUUGGUUAUUGCAGGCGGAAAGGUGAACUGAUGUUGGUGUACGAUUACAUGUCAAAUGGCAGCCUUGACAAGUAUAUACAUUGUCAAGAGGACGACAAGCCCACCUUAAAUUGGGCUCAGAGGUUUCAAGUCAUCAAGGGUAUCGCUACCGGCUUGCUCUACCUCCACGAGAAGUGGGAGAAAGUCGUGAUCCACCGGGACAUCAAGGCAAGCAACGUCCUCCUCGACGACGAAAUGAACGGGCGGCUCGGCGACUUCGGCCUCGCACGGUUAUAUGAUCAUGGCACCGAUCCACAGAGCACACACAUGGUGGGCACAAUGGGAUACCUUGCCCCCGAGCUAGUACGCACAGGCAAGGCAUCUCCUCUUACCGAUGUGUACGCCUUCGGCAUGUUUCUUCUCGAAGUUACAUGUGGGCAAAAGCCCAUGAAGCAAGAUGCAGAGGGAAAUCAGGUUUUCCUGGUGGACUGGGUCCUAGAGCACUGGCACAACCGACUGCUUACCAGAACGGUGGACACAAGGCUCCAAGGCGAUUACGGCGUUGACAAAGCAUGCCUCGUGCUGAAGAUAGGACUUUUGUGCCUGCACCCGUUUCCUGGUUCGAGGCCUAGCAUGCGAGAAGUCAUGCAAUACCUCGACGGUGAGACCCCGCUGCCUGAGCUGAAGCCGACGCAGCUGAGCGUGGAAAUGCAGGGGUUGAUGCAGGACAGCGGGUUCAACACUUCUGUCAUGUCUUAUCCCCAGCUGAUGUCAAGCUUCGGCACAGUGUCCGACCUCUCGGGAGGACGAUGA
rnacentral:rRNA from 1 species